GAUGAACGCUGACAGAAUGCUUAACACAUGCAAGUCUUUGGCGAAGCUGUGCUUGCACAGCCUAGCCAAGGCGGACGGGUGAGUAACGCGUCAGGAACUUGCCCUGCAGUCAGGGAUAACAGACGGAAACGACUGAUAAGACCUGGUAAAGUCAGGCGGACUCACGUCCAGCCUGAUGAAAAGAGAUGCUGCAGGAGAGCCUUGCGUCCUAUUAGCUUGUUGGUGGGGUAACGGCCCACCAAGGCGAUGAUAGGUAGCCGGCCUGAGAGGGUGGACGGCCAAGAGGGGACUGAGAGACGGCACUUGCUCCUACGGGAGGCAGGAGUGGGGAAUAUUGGACAAUGGCGGCAACCCUGAUCCAGCAAUUCUGUGUGCACGAUGAAGGUUUUCGGAUUGUAAAGUGCUUUCAGCAGGGAAGAAAAAAAUGACGGUACCUGCAGAAGAAGCGACGGCUAACUACGUG
rnacentral:rRNA from 1 species